CUUGUAACCUCGGAAGGAUAAGUGGCCAUAUUCAAAUGAGGAGAAUGGUGAUAAAGGAUAUAUUUCACUAGCCCGUUUGCACUCGAUUAAAAAAAAAAAAGUUGAUGUUCCAUCUUCCCUUUAGAGUAGAACCAUUUAGAUCGAAGAAAAAAAGUUUUGAGACAUGUAAUUUCGACCGACAAUGAGUGGGGGUCCGCAUGGAUCAGAUGGAGUCUACUGUAGCUUUCGCAGUUAAUGACCUAUAGCCAUAAGACGUGUAAAGUGCCGUUGGUGGGAA
rnacentral:lncRNA from 1 species